CUCUGCACCCGCCCUGGAAGGUCUGGGAGAAUCCUGGAGGCUUUGGGCAUCUGGGGGGCGGGGGGCGGGAGGAAGCCCACCCACCGAGCCCAAGCCGUGGAAGGCCUGCACACCCACACGCGCAGAGUCACGGAAACACCACAUGCGCUCAGACACAAGGUCAGGCCGGAUGGGAGGUAGCAUCUGGGCAGGACUACGGGCCGAGGACGGGCCGCCGUAGCAAUCAGGCAGGCAACGUGGAAGAUUGCAAGCCGAAUAAUGGAUUUUUUUUCCAAGAGAGCCGAAAGAAAGAUUGCAGCGAGUGCUGUGUGUACAGUACGACUCUUGCCUUGGACACGUCCAGAAUCGUCAGGAAAACCUGCAGAACUUGUUUGCUGGGGAGUAACCGGAGGGGAAAAGGAAUAUGCCCGGGGUGAGACUUCUCUCAGCCACGCUCGUUACCUUCUGAAACUGCUUUUCGCAGCCUGCUGCCUUCCAGAUGCAUGAUGCCAGCUUCCCCCAACCCCCAAGCUCAGGUGCUGCCGGACGGGAACUAUGGGGAUUGAAGUCCCAACACCUCUGGAGAGCACUAGGUUGCAGAACCCUGCUUCUAUAUGCGGAUGGGGAUUUCUCACACAAUACUCAAAACUCAGUUUAGCUUUAUCACUUUGGACACUGUUCACAAGAGCAGCCUAUUUCCUCUUGCUGCUGCCUUCCCCAGCUUGGGCAUCUUUCAGGGGCGUGAACUGCGACUCCCACAAUAUUCAUCCAUUUCUAUGGUGGCUGAGAAUUUGGGGAGUUGAAGUCCACACGUCAGAUGGACAGCCAUGUUGAGGAAGACGCUUGUACAGGGGUGUCUGCAGGGUAUGGUCCAAAAAGUCAAGAUGGCGGCCGCAACAGUGUGAUUGAGGCUCCAGAUAUACAACACCCACAAAAAACAGGUGGAGUUGCAAUCACACUGUUGCGGCCACUCUUUUGACCGUAUCCUGAGGACACCCCUGCUCUCGUAUCAGAUAUUUAGGAUUAAAAAAACCCUCAGAUUAAACUCUAAAACAGACUUCAAACAGCAGUCUCCUCAUCUGGAAAAAAACACACCCCAGAGGACACAGUGCAGGAGGAGAGCCGUGUUAAUCCACAGUAGCCAAACUUCAGGAAGUAUCUUAUGAAAGCUUUGGCCUUUUAAUAAAAUUUGUUAGUCCGAAA